ensembl:lncRNA
UGAGAACAGCUGGGAAAUAGGGAUGGACAGGGGGCACUGCAGUAUGGUGUGAUUGACCUGAUAAUUCUUGGCAACUCUGCACAGAUUAAGUUCCAGUUACAUCGUAUCAUUAUGAUCCAAGUACACAUUAAUCCAAGAUUUACUUCUUACCCCAACUGGAAUGAAUCUUGCUUUAGUGAAGAAAUCACUGCAACAUGAUGAUCUGUACCAACUAGAAUGCAUCUGAGAUAAUGGUCAGAAAAAAAACCACCAACACCAAACAAACAAACAAA